GAAAGUCUACCUUGAGCAGCCUGAACUCGCCCAACUUAGUCCCGUCUGACAACUAAAUGGAGUGAGGUAGAUAAGCUUCUUGACAGACGAGGCUGUUGCGUUCAUCAUUCGUCAAUUGAUUGAACAGUUCAUGGAAAGUACAGAACCUGUAAGUAGUGUUAGAUGGCCUGAGAAAUUUCUACGAAAGUGUGAACGUGAACGUUCUAAAGUCACCGAAGUUGUUUGAUCUGAGGGGGGAGCUAGUUGACCUCCUGGACAAGGUCUAAGAUUGCAGAACUACAGUUUAAACUCCCGACGUCACCUUAUUUAAGCGUAUAUGAACUACCCAGAAUGAACUACCUGAUGAACUCUUUUAAGAGACUAUGUUCUCUCGCAACAUAAAGAAAUCGUAAAAGAUCUGAUAAACUUUGCAAGAGAUACACCGCCGAAAAAAAUGUCAGUAUCCCAAGGGUGGGUUUAAAGGUGUAUACUCCGAAGCUGUCGCAUCUACGAACGUAAAUGUCAAACAAACUCUUGGAUAAUACCCAGCAUCCCUUGGAUAAAACUAUUACCCUGUUUCUAUAUUGAGGCUCGGAUGACUGAAACUAAAACACAAUCUAGACAAAGACGGAAUCUAAGACUAAAAAGCUUGUUGAUUCCUCCUAGGAGAAUGAAAUAAUUGAAACAAAGAUGACCAAGAUGACGACAAAGCUUCUAAUUAUAAAUUAUAUGUAAAUUAUAAUUAAUUUGUUUUUAAAGUAACGCAUUGUUAGUUCCAUGACAAGUACUAAGACUGAAUUUGUCUCUAAAGUAUUUUUAUAAACAUAU
rnacentral:lncRNA from 1 species